rnacentral:rRNA from 1 species
UACAGAGGUCUCAAGCGUUGUUCGGAUUCAUUGGGCGUAAAGGGUGCGUAGGCGGCGCGGUAAGUCGGGUGUGAAAUCUCGGAGCUUAACUCCGAAACUGCAUUCGAUACUGCCGUGCUUGAGGACUGGAGAGGAGACUGGAAUUUACGGUGUAGCGGUGAAAUGCGUAGAUAUCUGGAGGAACACCGGUGGCGAAGGCGGCAUCCUGGACCGGUAUUGACGCUGAGGCGCGAAAGCCAGG